rnacentral:misc_RNA from 1 species
AAGUCGUAACAAGGUUUCCGUAGGUGAACCUGCGGAAGGAUCAUUAACGAAUAUCUAUGGCGUUGGUUGUAGCUGGCUCCUAGGAGCAUUGUGCACGCCCGUCAUUCAUAUCUUUCCACCUGUGAACCAUUUGUAGGCCUGGAUACCCCUCGCUUUGGCAACAAAGCGGAUGCAAGGAUUGCUGCGUCGACAAGGCCGGCUCUCUUUGAAUUUCCAGGUUCUAUGUCUUUUACACACCCCAUUCGAAUGAUUUUAGAAUGUAGUCAAUGGGCUCUCAUGCCUAUAAAAAACUAUACAACUUUCAGCAACGGAUCUCUUGGCUCUC